rnacentral:tRNA from 1 species
AUUUAUAUAAUAUAAAUAAUUAUAUUUAACUUCCAAUUAAAAAAUCUAAUAAAUAGUAUAAAUA